rnacentral:rRNA from 1 species
UACGUAGGGGGCGAGCGUUGUCCGGAAUUACUGGGCGUAAAGGGCGUGUAGGCGGCCCUUCAAGUCGGCUGUGAAAGUCCCCGGCUCAACCGGGGGAUUGCAGUCGAAACUGGGGGGCUUGAGUGCAGGAGAGGAGGGUGGAAUUCCCGGUGGAGCGGUGAUAUGCGUAGAUAUCGGGAGGAACACCGGUGGCGAAGGCGACCUUCUGGCCUGUUACUGACGCUGAGGCGCGAAAGCCGGGGGAGCAAACAGGAUUAGAUACCCUGGUAGUCCCGGCCGUAAACGCUGGGUACUAGGUGUAGGGGGCUUUGAUGCCUUCUGUGCCGUAGUUAACGCAUUAAGUACCCCGCCUGGGGAGUACGAUCGCAAGGUUGAA